UAUACGUUAUCUAUGAGCAUCUGCUUUAUAACGAUUAUUUUAGCGUUAAGAAAAUCGUUAUAUAUAAGUAUUAUUUAUUUAUUAAUUUUAUUUUUAUUUAUUUAUGUCAUUAAUUCUAAUUUUUAAAUAAACUAAAUACCUCCCUCAAUUUCAAAAUCAGAAAUCUAGGGUUUCAAGUUUCACUUUGAAUUUCUCUUUCUCCGGUGAAUCUCGCCACCGCCGCCGCCGCUGCCGCUGCUCGACCGUUCCUCACGCCCUCUGCUCUCACCGUUUCAGGAAUCGACCGAAUGUCGAACGUUUUCGAUUCGAGGGUGAGAAAUGAGCAAAGAGGAAUCCUAAAGCAUUUUAGUUCAAGUCCUUUUGGGAAGCUUAGCACAGAAGAUGGAAAACCUAAUGUUGAUGUAUUAAAGAAGAUCUUUAAAAGGAUUGAUGAUGACGAUGAUGGAAAACAUUUCACGCAUAGAAAUAGGGAGCAAAUGCGAUCUAUUUUGCUUUGGUUGUAGCAAAUGCGAUCUAUUUUGCAGCAAAUCCUUUCAUGCAUGGAAAAGGAUCUAGUAUUGUAGGAUCUGGUAUUCCAAUCUUGUUUUGGUUGCUUCAGCAAAUGUGAUCUAUUUUGGGGAUCAGAGCAGAGCAGAAGGUGAAAUCCGCGCCCAAUCCC